rnacentral:lncRNA from 1 species
CCACCCCUCCGCUCGCCCCGCCCCGCUGGCUCCGCCGCCGCUACAGAUGCGGCGCGGCGCGCAGCUACAGAGACCCGGAUGUCGUUGGGCAGGAAAUGCGGUGAGGGCUGGUGGGCGGGGGAGGGGCCGCCACAGAUGACGUCACUGCCUUACCCAGCUUCUUUUUUUGCCGCUGCUGCUGCCGCCGCCGUUCCCUUACGGCCUGGAGCACCAGGCCGAAGCCGAAGGGAGCGUCCGGAUCCCGGAUAGCAGCCAGGACCCGGGCCUUCACGUGCCGGCGCCAGGGACUGGACAGAAUGUGCGGCUAUUAGAUACAAACCCCACUCCCUGCGAAGAUGGUGUACACGCAGCCCCGAGCACAGACCCGAAGCUGUCCACCCUUCUUGGGCGCCGUCGCGGUCUGGCCGCUGCCCUUCGAACCCAUGGUGGGUCCCAGGCAGCUGCCAGACCCCCCUACCCCAGAGUCCCACUCCUCCAGAGCCUUCCUCUCCCAGUGACCCCAGGAAGCCCAAGCAGGUGCCACGGCCACACACCUCGC